AUGUCUAUGUAAUCGCUAUGUCCAUUUUUGGAUGUAGAGGAAAGUCCAUGCUCACACAGGCUGCGAUGCCUGUAGUGUUCGCGCUUGAUGAAAUCAUAAGUCAAGGUAGUUUUUAAUAAACUAACGGCAGACGAGCUGUACUAAGUCACUUUUUGUGAUAUGUCAGCUCUCUUGAAAGUGCCACAGUGACGUAGCUGGUUUGGAAACAUACCAGGUGGAACGAGGUAAACCCCGCGAGUGAGCAACCCAAAUAAUGGUAGGGGCAUCCUUUAGUAGGGAAUGGAACCGAACAAGGGACAGCAACAGCUGUAGAUAGAUGAUUACAACCGGCGUACAAGGCUUGACCACCGUUUGCAGUACAAUGGAACAGAACAUGGCUUACCGGA
rnacentral:RNase_P_RNA from 1 species